rnacentral:rRNA from 1 species
ACAGAGGGUGCAAGCGUUAUUCGGAAUCACUGGGCGUAAAGCGCGUGUAGGCGGACUAACAAGUCGUGUGUGAAAGCCCGGGGCUCAACCUCGGAAAUGCGCACGAAACUGUUAAUCUAGAGUCUAGGAGAGGGAGGUGGAAUUCCAGGUGUAGAGGUAAAAUUCGUAGAUAUCUGGAGGAACAUCGGAGGCGAAGGCGGCUUCCUGGCCUAGAACUGACGCUGAGUAUGCGAGAGCGUGGGUAGCAAACAG